rnacentral:tRNA from 1 species
GGUUCCAAAGUGUAGCGGUUAGCAUGUCUGCUUUACACGCAGAAGGUCCUGGGUUUGUGCCCCAGUGGAGCCA